rnacentral:lncRNA from 1 species
UUUGCCCAGCUCUCAGACACUGACUUUAUUCCUUUUCUGGCGAGAUUCCACUGUCUGACUGAUCUUGAAGUCAAUGCUUUUCUAAAUCAAGAUUCAUAGAGAUUUUCGAAAUUUUUGUCAGAAUUGGUUUCAAUUCUUGAUGCUGGUUGAGAAUGUUUCACCAGCAGCCGAUCAGCUAGAUUCUCGGGCUGUAGGCCAACUCCUUGUAACCCUUG